CCUACGGGAGGCAGCAGUGGGGAAUAUUGCACAAUGGGGGAAACCCUGAUGCAGCGACGCCGCGUGAGUGAAGAAGUAUUUCGGUACGUAAAGCUCUAUCAGCAGGGACGAAGCAAGUGACGGUACCUGAGGAAUAAGCCACGGCUAACUACGUGCCAGCAGCCGCGGUAAUACGUAGGUGGCAAGCGUUAUCCGGAUUUACUGGGUGUAAAGGGCGUGUAGGCGGGAAAGCAAGUCAGAUGUGAAAACCACGGGCGCAACCUGUGGCCUGCAUUUGAAACUGUUUUUCUUGAGUACUGGAGAGGCAGACGGAAUUCCUAGUGUAGCGGUGAAAUGCGUAGAUAUUAGGAGGAACACCAGUGGCGAAGGCGGUCUGCUGGACAGCAACUGACGCUGAGGCGCGAAAGCGUGGGGAGCAAACAGGAUUAGAUACCCUUGUAGUC
rnacentral:rRNA from 1 species